rnacentral:lncRNA from 1 species
CGGCUGCGCCCGGGGCCCCGCGGGGCGAGCGCCGGGGACGCGGCAUCAGCGCGGGAGUCCCGGUAACUGGGGGAGCUGCGGGGGCGGGGCCCCUGUGCCCGGGGAGGGGCGGGUCCCGGGGAGCCGUGGGGGCCCAUCUGCCCGCGGGGUGGCCGGGGCUCGGGGCUGCCUAGGGAGCGAUGGUGCGUGUGUGCGCGUGGGGUGAGGGGUGUGGGCGUGAGAAAUCCCGGCCCAGCCACAGAGGAAGUGCGCGUGCCCGACGGUGCAAUGAUGUGUCUUGAUUUCCCCGGAGUGAGGGGUGGGGGUAGGUCUCCCCGCACAGUUGUGGGGUGGGGAUGCUGCAGGGAAUGGUGGCCCAGGACGGGCCCGUUUUCUCCUCCUUCACUGGCCUCUGCUCUUGUUCUUUCCUUUGAAGCAGCAGGCGCUGCCCAGCGUCGCAGCCGCGAUACCAGGCUAGAUGGGCCCCUGCUCUCACUGGGCCUGGCAGGUCCUGAGCAGCAGCUUGUGCAUCCCCCAGAGCCUGGACGUGCAGGGAGGUGGCGGGGGGCAUCUACCAGGCAGAGCUGUCCCUGUACGGAGACCCAGUGCGGGAAGACAUGCGGGAGCCGAAGUUCACAGCUGCUGUGGCCUUGGCCCUUCCUUCUGCCCUUUCCUGCUAGAGCAAAGAGCUGCCAGAAAUCUCCUUGUGGCUGUGCUCGGCUGCCCAGCGCAGUGCUCUGUAGCCCCAGCGAACCAUCCUGGUCAGACAGUUCUCAAGCUGCACUGGGAAACUAGGUAAGUUGUUUGUCCCGCUGCUCCAGCCCCCCCUUACCCUCCUCUGGUGGUUAGAAACCUCUUCUUCCAGCCUGCAUUUACUCCUGGCCAUUUAUCCCCGUUUGUUUUUGUGCCAAUGCUGUCCCUUAGUAUCAGGAGCCCUUCUUCCUCCCUGGUGGUUUGGGUGCCAGCCGCUUGCUUUACCAGUUGGGAGUUGAGAUUUCCUUCCAGAAUCCCUGGUAAAGGUCCUCAGCAGCAUUGUGCCAGGAACAGAUCCCUCCUUGCAUGAGGGUUCCCCCAUUGGCUGCUGUUCUCUGAGAUCUGCUCGGCUGUGUCCAAGAUGUUGGUAUUGCAGACGUGAGGAGGAUUCGCAGACCGGCCGAAGGGGCUGGGAUGUGCCUGUCUCCCGGUUGGUAUAACAACAAGAACUGAGGGCCAGAUUCUAAAGAGAUCUGGGCACCUGAGAAGUAGAUAAAAGCACCCACUAGGCCCCUGUUGGCUUUUUAAGUGUCCAAACAGCUGUCAGUCUAGCCUGGGUGUCUGAAUUCCAUGAGCUGCAGUGAAUCAGGACCUGCAGCCCUUUGCAUUUCUCUCAGUGCUGGCAUUCCAAGAGUUACUGGUGACUACGACUCCCAGAGUGAGUGUCCCUAUCCAUUAGGCUGCUCUGACGCUGCCCCUUUCCACCCCCUGAGGUUCCCGUUCUCUCUGGCACAGGGACGGAUUAAUCUCUGGAUUUACUCUCUG